GACCACGGACGUGAAAAUGAAAGGGCAGGACGACGAAUAAAUCUGCCGUAGAUUGUUUGGUGUUUGUGGUUAUUACGGUUUAUGCCAACAAGCAAUUCAUUCCGAAUGAAAGCGAAAUUGGACUAUUACACAGUCGUAGAGGGCGCCAAACGCUACGCGCACACGUAAUGGUUUCAUUUCAUAUCUCGUCAACAUCAAGUAUUUGUUGUACUGAAACUCGUUUUUCCUUAGACGGCGGUAUCAUACCUUUCUGCGCUUUAUUACGGGAACUCUCCUCUUCAGCCUGGUUUGCAGAUACCACCAGUUGCCUCUUUAAUAUCUUACUUGAUACAUAUUUCUUUCAGUACCACAAUGCAGUUUUUUUUUUUUUUCUUAGUUCACCUCAUUUCAAGUUGAAGAGGUUUUGAAUUAUAACACCAGGUUUGCAGUACCCGGAAAACGUCUCUAUAGUUUUUGAUUGUGGUAUUGAAACUGUACCGACAACAGUCGAAAGUUGUUGCUGCAAUUACUGCGGAUGAAAAAAAAAAAAUAUAUAUAUAUAUAUAUAUAUAGAGAGAUUCUGUAGCACGAGUGCAAAAGCAGGAAACGGACAACAUUUAUGCUUUUCAUUGAGGGAGAAGGAAUGUGGUGUGAAUAGAAAUCCAUGCCUCAUAUUCAUGCCAAUGAUAUUUUAUUGAAUGGAUGAAUUAGGUUUUUUUUGUCAUAAGCAAAUGUUAUGGAAUGUUUUGUAUUUAUAUUGUCAGCUGUUUGUACUUGUAGGACUGUAGUGGAAAAAUGCAGUCACAACUUAAUAUUUAUUCAUUUUAGCUCUCAUUUGGGGGAAUCUGUUUUGUCAAUGUGAACGCUGCCUUAAAGUAAAAAAAAAAAAAAAAAAAUGACAGCCUUAUUGUUUGUUUCCCAUCCCGUCUGUUGGGCCACAAUUUUUUUUUUUCGUCCACGCUUCACGGACUAAAGGAGGGAAAUUUGACAUAACUGUCCCUAGAGAAUGAAAACUUCCACAUUUAUCUCCUAAUGUAGGUUUUAUGAUAGUAAUUAUGCUUUACAUAUGAACUCAACUGGAACAUAACAGGAAGUGCUCCAAAAAGAUUGGAAUAUCCGACGACAAAACAUUUGAAAGCCCCGCGGCAAGAAAAUGCGUCUGCUCGAUGAUGAUGAAUGAAGUUGUUUCGAUAAAACCAUAAAUUAAAUCACGGCUUCCUUUCAGUAGAUCGCCUUUGUGAGUAAAUGGAGGUCAGAGUCCGGUAAUUAUAGUAAACAGCUCCCUAAGUCUUUACAGUUUAUGUCACUUUUUUAUGUGAAACCAUUCAGCUAGUCGUUUUUGGUUUGUUUUUAGUUGUUACCGAUCACCCUUUGAAAGGAAAGCAGUACAGUAGCUGGUGUGUUUACUGUAUUCCGUGUCAUUACAGUUCAGUGAGCUGCUCUCGAGUUUAGUCAUCUAAAAUGGUGGCACAGCAUUUGUGUCGCUCCUCGCUCCUCGGCCUGAGCACAUUUUGCCAAAUACGUGGGGGUUCGCUUUGUCCAUUUGGUGACAUUUUUCUCAUGUAAAGUGCAAGUUUUCUGGAAACCGCACAUCGCUCGGACCUCAGCGUAACACCCAAUUUGGUGGCCGACGGGUGUGCGGCGCACGACAACAGCAGCGACUCAAAUGCUCGACUUGCUUCCCCAUCGCGACGAAGAGUUGCAAAAGUUGUUUGUGCCGCUCUGGGAAAGGUCCAGUUGCGUGUUCGGCGCGGAAGGCGUGUGCCGAGCAGCCCUCGGCGAGCGUCGUCCCCCUCGUGAUCUGGCAACCUUGAGCAAACUGCGACAGCGCAGCAGCGCCGAUGGCGGCCGAACAUCCUUCCCGCUCGCUCGCGCGGGGCGAGCCGAGGACGACCGCGACGCGGUGAGACGGCCACCGCCGCAUGGCGACGCUCGACGUGCGCCAUUCCGCGAGGACGAGCCCGAGCCCCCGCCGUGUGGUCGCCACUUCGCCCUUUUCAUGGAACUUCAUCGCAAGUUGGCUGGAAAAGGUUUAACUAGUGCAAGCCCUCAGUCCUGCGCCUCAGUCCCGCUCAAGGAGUUUUGAAAGUCCAUCGACGAAUGAGAGUCCCCGGUGGCAGGCGGGCUGAGGACGAAGCAUGGGGUGUAAAUCCCACGCGUCGAGGCACACGUGACAGCAUGUUUUGCAUCGGAGUGGCUCAAAAUGGAAAAGCACCCAUGCAGGGAGAAGAACAUUAACUCGUAUGGGGACCGGCACGCCGCCGACGAGCCCGAGGACGGCAGCGGCUCGGAAAGCGACGCCGAGGAGCGGCGGCGCCUGAAGGCCCGGCUGAACGACGGCGGCGGCUGCAAUAAGUGGGAGCCCCUGGCGCCGACCAAGCCCCACCGCCAACUGUGUCGUUCGCCGUGCCUGGACCAGCCCAGUUUUUCCCAGAGCAGCACGGUGCGCGAGUCCCACGAGGACGAGACAGGCGCGGGGCCGGCCAGCGAGAGGGCGUACCAGAGCAAAAUGGACUUUGCCUUGAAGCUGGGCUACUCCGGGGAGCAGGUGGAGAUGGUGCUCAACAAACUGGGGGCCGCCGCGCUCAUUAAUGACGUUCUCGCCGAGCUGGUGAGGCUGGGAAACAAAGCGGAAUCAGAGAGUCAACCUUCUGCGUCGCUACCGCUUAGCCCCUGCGCUCAAGAGACCGUUAGUCCCGAGGUGCCCGUGGAAGAAGAACCCGCGGACCCCUUCGAGAACCUGCGGCCGAUCGUCAUCGACGGUUCGAAUGUGGCAAUGAGCCACGGAAACAAAGAGGUUUUCUCUUGCCUUGGAAUCCAACUCGCCGUCGAAUGGUUCCAGGAAAAAGGCCACAAAGACAUUACCGUCUUUGUCCCGGCGUGGAGGAAGGAGCAGUCCAGGCCUGAUGCCCUCAUUACAGAUCAAGAAAUAUUACGCAAGCUGGAAAAGGAGAAGAUCCUGGUUUUCACCCCGUCUCGGAGGGUCCAAGGCAGAAGGGUGGUGUGCUACGACGAUCGCUUCAUAGUGAAGCUGGCUUAUGAUUCUGACGGAAUUAUUGUGUCAAAUGACAACUACAGAGACUUGCAAAACGAAAAACCGGAGUGGAAGAAGUUCAUCGAGGAACGCCUCCUCAUGUAUUCGUUCGUCAACGACAAAUUUAUGCCACCCGACGACCCGCUGGGAAGGCACGGUCCGAGCUUGGAAAAUUUCCUUCGCAAGCGUCCCGUCGUCCCGGAGCAUAAAAAGCAACCUUGCCCCUACGGCAAAAAGUGCACAUACGGACACAAGUGCAAAUAUUACCACCCGGAGCGCGUCAACCAACCGCUGCGGUCGGUGGCCGACGAACUGCGGGCCUUCGCCAAACUGUCGGCGGUCAAGACCAUGAGCGAGGGGGCCUUAGCCAAAUGCGGCACCGCUUCGGCCGUUGCCAACCAGGACGGCAACUCGGAGGCGGCUAAACGCGUGGCGCCCAAACGCCAGUCCGAUCCCAGCAUCCGCUCAGUGGCCUGCGAGUCUCCAGAGAGCCUGUCCGUCGGGAGGAAAUCUGAGACCAAUUCCGUGCCUUCCCUCGUGACCGCUCUCAGCGUGCCCACCAUGCAGCCGGCCAAAAGCCACGCGGCCGGCGCGUUGAACACGCGAUCCGCCAGCAGCCCGGUUCCCGGCUCCUUGCAGUUCUCGCACAGUUCGCUGGAGCACAUGUCCAGCGUGCAGUACCCUCCCAUUUUGGUCACCAACAGUCACGGCGCUUCCGUCACCUACGGCGAGCAGUUCCCAAAGUACGACUCGGUCAGCGACCACGGCUACUAUUCGCUGCGCAGCGACUUUUCCACCAUGAGCAUGAGCAGCGUGCACAACGUGGACAGUUUCUGUAGCAUGGAGCACGAGCACGUCGCGUGCCAGAGAAGCCGCAGCCGCUGCGCCGAGUCCUGCCUCGGCCACUCCAACAGCGACUCGUUCUCCUCCUACGGCGAUCCGUACCCGGGCUCCGCGGACGGGAGCCUGGAGGAGAGCCUGAAGGGCCAGCAGCAGCCGCCGUCCGCCUCGACGGGCAGAAUGCAGACUUACUCCCGCGGCUUCCGCCGCGAGGGGCUCACGAGGGUGCAGACUUACGGGCCGGAGGAGCCCAAGCAGGGUCCGUGCAAGCAGCUCACGCCGCACGUCCAGCACGCGACGGUCGGGGCCCGGUCCAGCUGCCCUGGCGACUACCCCGUGGCGCAGAGCGGCCUGCCGCCGUUGUCCUCGCAGCCGACGCGCUCGCUGGGCAUGACCCGCAUGGACAGCGUGUCCGAUUCCCGGCUGUACGACAGCAACCCGAUGAGGCAGAGGCGGCCGCCGCUGUGCCGCGAGCAGCACGCCAGCUGGGACCCCCUGCCGUGCGCCAACGAAUCUUACGGCUACCACUCGUACCCGCUGAGUGGCAGCCUCAUGCCGUGCUGCGAGCGGGUGAUGGUUCGCAGCAUGCCCGACAAGAUGGAGCAGAUCUGGAACUCGCCGUGGGAGAGCCCGCCCGCCGCCGAGCACCAGCAACGUGAUUCCCCAAAGGAGCGACGUACUACUACAUAUGCAGGGAGCUGUUCUGCCAUGCCUGAUUCAUGCAGAAGAAUUUAACUUGCAGGCUGGCUGGCACGUUUCCCUCGUCUUCCCCUACUUCAUGCUUAAUUGACUGCAGCCGCUCCGGUGGUGAGCAACCACUCAGGGCAGCAUCGACUGCCGGAGAAAAAAUUCCUUGUGUGUUUUACACACUUGGCCAUUACAGCUGAUUCAGAUUCUGAUCGAUGAGUACUGAUUGAAGACAAGUUCACAGCCAAUCUGAUGCUGAUUGCUGGGGAGAGAGAAGGAGGAAGAGAGAGGCAAGGCACAAAGUACCACUAUAGCUCCAAAGGAGGAACUGCAGGGCACAGAUCAUAACAUUACAGGCUUGGUGCAAUUUUUAUUUACAAAUGAUUUCCAACUAAAUGGACUCUAAGUUUACCUGUUCCAAAACUUUUAUUCCUAUAAAAGUAAAUUCAGAUUUGUAUUUAGGUUUCUGUCAGAUGCAGAUCUAAAACUGUACAAAGGAAUGACAAAUGACAAAAAAAAAAAAUAUAUAUAUAUACAAACCACUGUGUAAUUGCUGCAUGUGGAAAUAAGCAACUGAUGUCCAAGAAAUUGUACAUACCAAAUGAAUACAUUAUAAUCUAAUGUAAUUUUCAAUGUUUUAGUGUUGGACUAGUGGUAAAUGUAUUCAUUUGUUUAUUUAUUUUUGUUCCAGGGAGUAAACAUAAAACAUAUUGACAAGCUAAUGCUAAAGCGGCAUUGAUCCCCUUGUCCCAGACUGAGUGCUCCGAGGCAUAUUACGGACCUAUUUUGAUGUUAGCCAACUAUCGCUCUUCUUUUUUUUUUUUUUUUUAUUGUCCUAUUCGGCUGUUAGAUCAAGCGAAAUGGGUAAUCUGCAUCCCUUUAAUGCGGGAACAGUUUUAUUGUGUCACAGUUUAGUUUUAAUCUUCCUCUGUGAUUUCUCAGUAUUGAAAUUUAUUAAGGAUCAGAGUCAAUCAGUCGAUCAGAACAGAAUUUCUACAGGGGGGAGAGAGACAAAGUGCUAACUGUAAACAGAAUGACAAAAUUAAAUCAUUACAUAUCUAAAUUAAGGAAAAAAAUAUGGAUGUCGCAUGAGACUGUAGUGCUACACCCUGUGUGGGAAGGAUGGAACAAGAUAGGACAGGACAAGGAUAGGAGAAGAAGCAUGCAAGAUAAGCAUUGUGAACCUGGCAAUACAACUGCAAUGUGGUGGGAAUGACUAAGUGAUCUAUAGAAGUCUGUAGAACCAGAAUAUAAAUGGGGGAAUAAACAUACAAUUCUCCUAUACAUUAGUUUUGGUUGUCUUUUUUUGCAACAAGUGAAUGGUCCCACACCCAGUGAAAGAAACCCAGGGGUGUGUACCUGUGGACGCAAGCAAGUUAAUUCACACCAUUGUGAAUCCAAAAACAAUGACAGGAAUGUCCAACAAUUGCUGUGCCUGUGGCAUGGAGUCUCAGGAAGGAAACAGGGGCGAUGAAGAAGUGAUGGGUAAGUAUGGCAUUCAGCAAAGGAACUUUCAGGGUCGGAUGGUGGUGAGCUUCACAAAAAAGAUGGAAUUGGCAGUGCUGAACACUUAUUUCCAGAAGAGACAGGAACAUAUAGUGACCUACAAGAGCGGAGGUAGAAACACGCAGGUGGAUUAUAUUUUGUGGAGACAAUGUAAACUGAAGGAUGUUACUGAUCGUAAGGUCGUGGUGGGGGAGAGUGUAGCUCGACAACAUUGGAUGGCGUCACGAUCCUGCUGCUCCAGCCCGGGCUGUGCGGGUGCCCGCCCGCGUGCUCGCGCUAAUUGGGAGGCACACACCUGCGCCUCAUGCGGGCUGAUUAUCCCGUGUAUAUAUAGGACCCCGAUGACGACUGGUGAUCCGCCAGAUCGUUGAGGUUCAUGUCCCGUUCCAGCACUCUCGUAUCCCUGAUCGUCAACCCGUGUGUACCGACCUUCGCCUGUUCUCCGACUGACCCCGUAAGCCUGACUCCUUUGACACUUCUGCCUGCCUUGAUCGAUCUUCCGUGUACCGACUCCUGCCGGCCCUCUCACCGGCUCUUCGCCCGACGUCCCAACUACCGCUGCUGCACCUGACUGCCUGCCCGAUCCCCGACCUUCUAAUAAUAAAUGUUUUUCUCCGAACUACCUUGCUCUUCCGUGUCCUCCUGCAUUUGGAUCCUACCUCCGUUCCGAUGGAUCGUGACAGAACGAUCUGGCCAAAACAGGACCCAGCAGGAAAGACUCGGCAUCGCCGGGACCGAUGCAAGGUAGACCGACUGCCGGAAGUCCAAGCCUGUCCCAUCCGGGUAGGCCCCAUGACGUCCUCCGCUUCCGUGUCAUAUGCUCCGCCGGUGAGCUAUGAAUACGUCCCGACCAUGACCUGUCCGGCACCGCAUAUUCUUCUGGACUCUGACUUUUCGGACACGAGGAGGACCUUAAUUUGUAUGACCGGCUGCCUGAGUACGAAUCUUUUCGCCCGAUCUUCAAUCCCGGCCAGUUUGUUUCACCUCCCCGCAUUUCCAGCACCCGAGCGUCUUCGCCCGGUAGGUCUGAGUACACCAACCCGUUUGUUGGUACCCGCUUGGCCAUCUACCCGGGACUCGGAAAUAUGUUAGAAUAGUACAGGACAUGUAUGAGGGCAGCAGAACAAUGGUAAGGUGUGCCGUUAGUGUGACAGAAGAAUUUAAGGUGGAGGUGGGACUGCAUCAGGGAUCCGCACUGAGCCCCUUCCUGUUUGCGGUAGUAAUGGAUAGAUUGACAGAUGAGGUUAGUCUGGAAUCCCCUGGACUAUGAAGUUCCCAGAUGAUAUUGUGAUAUGAAGUAAAAGCAGGGAGCAUGCAGAGGAACAAUUAGAAAGAUGGAGACAUGCACUGGACAGAAGAGGAAUGAAGAUUAGCUGAAGUAAAACAGAAUAUAUGUGCGUGAAUGAGAAAGGUGGAGGGGGAAGAGUGAAGCUACAGGGAGAAGAGAUGGUGAGGGUGGACGACUUCAAAUACUUGGGGUCAACAAUACAGAGCAACAGUGAGUGUGGUAAGGAAGUGAAGAAAUGGGUCCAAGCGGGGUGGAACAGUGGGUGGAAGGUGUCUGGUAUUCUAUGUGACAGAAGAGUCUCCGCUAGGGUGAAGGGCAAAGUUUACAAAACAAUGGUGAGGCCGGCCAUGAUGUACGGAUUAGAGACGGUGGCACUGAAGAAACAAAAGGAAGCAGAACUGGAGGUGGCAGAAAUGAAGAUGUUGAGGUUCUCGAGGUUGGAUAGGAUUAGAAAUGAGCUCAUUAGAGGGACAGCCAAAGUUGGAAGUUUUGGAGACAAGGUUCGAGAGAGCAGACUUAGAUGGUUUUGACAUGUUCAGAGGCGAGAGAGUGAGUAUAUUGGUAGAAGGGUGCUGAGGAUAGACCUGCCAGGCAAAAGAAUGAGAGGAAGACCAAAGAAAAAGUUGAUUGAGGUUGUGAGAGAGGACAUGAGGACAGUGGGUGUUCGAGAGGAAGAUGCACGAGAUAGGCUUAGAUGGAAAAAGAUGGCACGCUGUGGCGACCCCUCACGGGACAAGCCGAAAGGAAAAGAAGUACAGGGGUCUAGUAACAUUGACCUGUAGACAUUUUGAGAUGGAGGUAAAGUUCAGAAAGUGUAACCAAAAAUCACAAAAGGAACCAAUGGAGAAAAACAGUAUAUUAGUCUGUUUCUACUGUGGCCCCAACUCUAACUGUUCAAGUUUGGCUCUGGACUAAAAGCCAACUAGUGGUUGGAGGGAUGCCAGUCUGUUUUAUGGCUAGAGUUGAGAUACCCUUGUACACUGAUCCCAGCUCCUCACCCCAAAAGUGUAGCAUGGGCAAGAAUGACUUAUAUUCAUUAUUCCUGUGACAGUGACAAUGUAUUAAUUUUCUUUUCUGUUGUAUGUUGUUUUUGUACAGUUGACAUCUUUCCUUCCACGCCUCCAUCUGUGUGGUUCUGUUUUCUGUCUGGUGUGCACAAAUACAAAGUGUGAGUUGAAUUUCACCUUUCGGGAUAACAAUGAGAAAUAAAAGAUAAGUAAAAGUCGGGCUGCAUUACAAAAUAAGACCAAAUAAAUAAAAACUCAAAAGUAAACGUUAAAAUAAAUUACUUAACUUGAGAAAAACAAAUGAGUUUGUGUUUACCCUUUUGUCUUUAGCAUCUCUACACAACCAGCGGCAGUGCGAUAUGGUUUGCAAGGGGUAGAUGUGGCUAUCCGAGGCCGUAAAUCUCACCCCCAGGAAGAUAAAGUUUGAUCACCAUCAUCCUGUGCCCUACUGGACACAGCAAUGAACUCUAUAUUUUAAUUGAACCAUUUUUAACAAUAGAAGAGUUUUUGAGGCCAUGUUUUCUUAAAACCUUAUUUUGUUUCAUAAUAAAUCUUUCACAUAUGUUCUUUUAAUACCGUAAGUGUGAAUUUAGGGGAAAUUAGAAUAUAAAAUGAAAUUACUCUGGCUGUUCCAUUUGAAUUUUUGGGGAAAGCGUCAUUUUUUUUUCCAAGCAUACUCUUCCUUUAUUAUUUAUAUAUUUUAUGAAUAAUAUAUAUUUAUAUCUAUAUAUUUUCUUCACUCUCUCUCCCUUUCUGCAUCUUUUAUUCAACUUCCACACAGAAUUUUUUCUCACUUCCCUGCUGCGUCUCUCGUCUGUCUCUCUGAUCUAGGUGCUGAGUUGCAGACUUGAUUGGCUGAGUAACGUCACUUGGAAUGGGUUAACUCAUUUAUUCAGCGGCUGAAAUAUAUUUUUACGAUGUCACCAUUAUUCUCAAUAAAUAUAUUUCAAAAGACACGAUUGAAGAAAAAUGAAGAAAAUGUUUUGGUGUGGUGAUAUUAGGGUGAUGAUUCUUCUCCAAAGGUGGUGUGUAUUGUGGCAUCCACAAAGGAGAAGCAAGGGGGAAGUUCAAAAGGCACUACAAAGGAUGAAAAAUGAAAAGCCCGUUGGUCCUGAUGACAUACCGUUGGUGGUAUGGAAGCAAUUUGGAGAAGUGGCUGGGGUGUUUUUGACCAACUUAUUUAACAGAAUAGUAGUGGGCGAGAAAUGCCUGAAGAAUGGAGGAUAAGUGUUCUCGUUCCCAUUUUUAAGAACAAAGGCGAUGUUCAGAGCUGUGGGAACUAUAGAGGAAUACAUUUGAUGAGCCACACAAUGAAGUUAUGGGAAAGAAUAGUGGAGGCUAGACUCAGGACAGAAGUAAGUAUCUGCAAGCAACAAUAUGGUUUCAUCCCUAGAAAGAGGACCACAGAUGCACUAUUUGCCUUGAGGAUUCUCAUGGAAAAGUACAGAGAAGGUCAGAAGGAGCUACAUUGGGUCUUUGUGGAUCUUGAGAAAGCCUAUGACAGAGUACCAAGAGAGGAACUUUGGUACUGCAUGCGGAUGCCUGGUGUGGCAGAGAAAUAUGUUAGAAUAGUACAGGACAUGUUCGAGGGUAGCAGAACAGUGGUGAGUUGUGCCGUAGGUGUGACAGAGGAAUUUAAGGUGGAGGUGGGACUGCACUGCUCUGAGCCCCUUCCUGUUUGCUGUGGUAAUGGAUAGGCUGACAGAUGAGGUUAGACUGGAAUCGCCUUGGACCAUGAUGUUCGCAGACGAUAUUGUGAUGUGCAGUGAAAGCAGGGAGCAGGCGGAGGAACAAUUAGAAAGAUGGAGACAUGCACUGGAAAGAAGAGGAAUGAAGAUUAGCCAAAGUGAAAUAGAAUAUAUGUGCGUGAAUGAGACGGGUGGAGGGGGAAGAGUGAGGCUACAGGUAGAAGAAAUAGCAAGGAUGCACGACUUUAAAUAUUUAGGGUCAAUAAUACAGAGAAAUGGUGAGUGUAGUAAGGAAGUGAAAAAAUGGGUCCAAGCAGGUUGGAACAGCUGGCGGAAGGUCUCUUGUGUGUUAUGUGACAGAAGAGUCUCUGCUAGGACGAAGGGCAAAGUUUAUAAAACAGUGAUGAGGCCGGCCAUGAUGUACGGAUUAGAGACGGUGGCACUGAAGCGACAACAGGAAGCAGAACCGGAGGUACCAGAAAUGAAGAUUCUGAGGUUCUUGCUUGGAGUGAGCAAGUUGGAUGGGAUUAGAAAUAAACUCCUUAGAGGGACAACAAAAAUUGGAUGUUUUGGCGACAAGGUUCGAGAGUGCAGACUUCGAUGGUUUGGUGAUGUCCGGAGGCGAGAGAGUGAGUAUAUUGGUAGAAGGGUGCUGAGGAUGGAGCUGCCAGGCACACGAGUGGGAGGAAGACUAAAGAAAAGAUUGAUGGAUGUUGUGAGGAAAGACAUGAGGACAGUAGGUAUUAGAGAGGAAGAUGCACGAGAUAGGCUUAGAUGGAAAAAGAUGACACGCUGUGGUGACCCCUAACGGGACAAGCUGAAAGCAAAAUAAGAAGAAAGUUUGUGGGUCCACAGAGUCCCAUUUUAUUAUCAUCAAACCAGACUAUGUGCUCCUCGUAUUAAACUGACUUGUCCAAAAGUUACUUAUCACCAAUGGACUCUUGCGCAAUUAGCAUACAUACAGACCAUGGCGACGGAGUGCAUUACUCACUGUUGACCUGACUUUCAACAGUCAUAUCAAAUCAAUUACUAAAACUGCCUUUUACUGUCUGAAGAACAUAUCUACCAUGAAGGCUUGCAUGUGCCAAUAAAACCAAGAGAAUCUUUUAACUCAAUGCUUUUAACUUUCUAACUGGACUCCAACAAAAGAGCAUUCAACAGCUGCCGCACAUUCAAAAUGCUGCAGCUAGGGUUUUGACCAGAACAAAUUCCAAUUUUAAAGUCUUUGCACUGACACCCAGGCAGCUUUAGAAUUGAUUUUAAAUUUCUGCUACUGGUAUACAAGUCACUAAAUGCUUUAGAGUCUAACUACAUGAAAGAAAUGCAAAUGGAAUAUAAACCCAGUAGGGUUUUGCUCUCAACAGACUCAAAUAGUGGAUUGCCAAGUUCAAAGUAAACAUUGUGAAGAAUUGAGUUAUGCUGCACACAAAGGCUGUACCGGGAAUAAGUUGUCAAGAGAAGUGAUGUCCGCCCCAAGUGUAAAGGUUUUUUUGUCCAGGUGAAAGACUUAGUCUUUCUCAUGCUUUGUUGAGCAUUUCCACUUUUAAAUGACAUUUCUUGCACUUUUUUCUGUUUUAAUUGUGAUUUUAGUUUUUGUCUUUAUUUAGAUAUUUAUAUGAUGUUUUUUCUUUUUAAAAAUGCUUUUUUUUAAUCAUGAAAAGCACAGUGGAUUACUUUGUGUAUGAAAUUCCAAAAUUGUACAUUUGCUUACCUUUGCUUUGCUUUUGCACGUGACAAGUGUACCUGUUAAUUCCAAGUCUUUUUGAAGCUCACCUCAGGUGGUCCUUGGCUCGUGGACAACUGUUUUGAUUAUUCUUUGCAGUCUUCUGUCAUAAGACUGUCAAUUUAAGGUGGUAUGAUUGGUUUUCCACUUACGUAUUACAGUUCCAACCGUGUUGACCGGAAAAUUAUGAAGUUUAGCUAUGCACCUGUAACCAUUAUUAUGUUUUGCAAUAAUUGGUUUGUGAUGGUCUUGAAACAACUGUCUGCUCUUACUCAUCAUUGACUCAAACCUUGGCAAUAAAACUUUUU